GACUCGGUGGCGGAAGGUCCGCGUCUCCUCCUGCUACACUUGGACACGAUUGCUGUUGGGGAACCCGCCCGUUCGACUCGGGCCCGAGUCA